UAUAAUUAUGUAUAGUUAUAACUGUACUAUCCUGUGGUAUAACUAUGUAUAGUUUUAACUGUACUAUCCUGUAUAACUACGUUUAGUUAUAACUGUACUAUCCUGUGGUAUAACUAUGUAUACUUAUAACUGUACUAUCCUGUUUAACCUGUUGGGGCUCGGGGGCAGUAUUGAGACAUUUUGAAAAAAAUAUGUGCCCAUUUUUAACUGCCUCCUACACCAACUCAGAAGCUAGGAUAUGCAUAUUAUUAACACAUUCAGAUAUAAAACACUCUGAAUUUUCUAAAACAGUUUGAAUGGUGUCUGUAAGUAUAACAAAACUCAUAUUGCAGGCAAAAACCUGUGAAAAAUAGAUCAAAGAAAAUGUGAAUUUUGUGACUGUACUAUUUAGUGUCAUUGUUUUAUAGAUACCAUAGUGAGAAAGGAUUCAUUUCGCAACACCUACGGCUUCCACUAGAUGUCAACGAUCUUUAUAAAGUUGUUUGAAGCGUCUAUGAUAAACAGAGAGCAAAUUAGAAUCCAAGGAAGUUGACAUGUCAUCACUUCAUUUUUUUGCGCCUGCGCAUAAAUAUGAGAAACGUGAGUUUGUCAUCAUUUUUUAUCUAGACAUAGGAUAGGUUGUGUGAAAAUAUUACUGAUGUUUAACGUUAAAAAUGGACCAAAAGAUUAAUGCUAAACAACAUUUGACAUGUUUGAACGAACAUAAAUAGAUUAUUUACUAGGUUUUUUUAGCUUUUCGGGCGUGAUUUUACCAGCCCCCCAACCACGUUUUGUGGGAGCAUAAUGAACGCUAAGUACUUGGUGUUAUUUGGACAUAAAUUAUGAACUUUGUCAAAAGAAACCACAUUUGUUCCGGACCUGGAAUGCCUUCCGGACCUGGGAUCCUGCCUUCUGAUGGAGAUAAUCAAAGGAGGCUUCCUUGUCAUGCACCACUAUUUUCAACAAGAAGCUUCCUUGUCAUGUACCACUAUAUUCAACAGGAGGCUUCCUUGUCAUGUACCACUAUAUUCAACUGGCGACUUCCUUGUAAUUUAUCACUAUAUUCAACAGGAGGCUUCCUUGUCAUGCACCACUAUUUUCAACAAGAAGCUUCCUUGGGUUGUGCCGUGGCGGAGAUCUUUGUGGGCUAUACUCGACCUUGUCUCAGGGUGGGGGACCUGAGCCCUAGGACCAUGCCUCAGGACUACCUGGCAUGAUGACUCCUUGCUGUCCCCAGUCCACCUGGCCGUGCUGCUGCUCCAGUUUCUACUGUUCUGCCUGCGGCUAUGGAACCCUGACCUGUUCACCGGACGUGCUACCUGUCCCAGACCUGCUGUUUUCAACUCUCUAGAGACAGCAGGAGACGUAGAGAUACUCUCAAUGAUCGGCUAUGAAAAGCCAACUGACAUUUACUCUUGAGGUGCUGACCAGUUGCACCCUCGACAACCACUGUGAUUAUUAUUAUUUGACCAUGCUGGUCAUUUAUGAACAUUUGAACAUCUUGGCCAUGUGCUGUUAAAAUCUCCACCCGGCACAGCCAGAAGAGGACUGUCCACCCCCAUAGCCUGGUUCCUCUCUAGGUUUCUUCCUAGGUUUUGGCCUUUCUAGGGACUUUUUCCUAGCCACCGGGCUUCUACACCUGCAUUGCUUGCUGUUUGGGGUUUUAGGCUGGGUUUCUGUACAGCACUUUGAGAUAUCAGCUGAUGUAAGAAGGGCUAAAUAAAUACAUUUGAUUUGAUUUAAUAUCAACUCCAUUUAACAGGCUUCCUUGUAAUAUACCACUAUAUUCAACAGGCUUCCUUGUAAUAUGCCACUAUAUUCAACAGGAGGCUUCCUUGUCAUGUAAUAUCAUACCCAGCCAUGUGAGCGCUAAUAUCAUAUUAAGCAUUUAGCAUUUUCCAACCAUAGCAAGCCAUGUGAGCGCUAAUAUCAUAGUUAGCAUUUAGCAUGCGCCAUCCAUCCCCAGCCAUGUGUGCCCUUGUCGCGUCCUGACCAUGGUAAGCUGUUAUUUUUCUAUGGUAGAGUAGGUCAGGGCGUGACGGGGGUGUUUUUCUAUGUAUUGUUUUUCUAUGUUCAUGUUCUAGUUUUGUAUUUCUACGUUGGUUUUGUUUGGGAUGAUCUCCAAUUAGAGGCAGCUGGUCCCCGUUGUCUCUAAUUGGAGAUCAUACUUAAGUAGGUUUUUCUUUUUCCUUCUGGUGUUGUGGGAUCUUGUUUUUGUAUUGCUCAAUGAAGCUUGCAGAACGUGACGUUCGUGUUUCCUUGUUUAUUGUUUUUGUAUAGUGUUCUGAGUUAAUAAUAAAUAUUUAUCAUGAGCACUCAUCACGCUGCACCUUGGUCUACUCCUUACGACAAUCGUAACAGCCCUAAUAUCGGCACAUUUAGCAUACUCCAUCUGUACCCAGCCAUUUGUGCGCUAAUGUCAUAGUUAGCAUGCAACAAAUCUAUAUUCCACAUUAGGAAACCCAGGGCUGACAUAUUGGCUUCCUGUCUGUAUUAUUAAGUGACGGCAGACUGCUGCUCUGUGUGAUUAACCACUAAACUGUCUGUGGACAUUAUGUUCAACCACAUUAUAGUUUAGAUCAGGCCACAGGAGGCCAAGCAGGGCUUCUGAUCAACUGAUUGCUGGAUCUUCAUGUUGUGGCUGACCGAUUCAUCACCAGGGAUGUGUCUAAAAUGGCUGACCUAAUCAUCCCCAGGGUUGUGUCCAAAAUGGCUGACUUAAUCAUCACCAGGGAUGUGUCUAAAAUGGCUGACCUAAUC
rnacentral:lncRNA from 1 species